rnacentral:tmRNA from 1 species
GCAAUUACCACCAUAAAUAUUAUAAUUAUUUCGUCACAAAAGUGAUGAUGAUUCUGAAUCCGUUGCGGAAUAGUCGUUUUGGACUGGGGGGCGGUACCCCACAGCUCCACCAUUAAACAUUAUGGGGCUGACAUAGUUUCGACAGGCGAAGUAAAGGCAAAUCGGGUGAAUCCGACGUGGCGUCGUUAAAAGCCGAAUAAAAACUGAAUGGCGAUAGAAUCGCUGCGAACGACAACGUUCGCCUUGCAAUGGCCGCCUAAUAAUGGAUUGGAUAUAAUUGGCGAUUGUUGAUUAUAUCCGUUUGGCUUAUUGCGGGGCCGACCGGGUGCCCGGCAACAGAAACC